AUUUGGAUAUCGUGGAUUCACCUCCCGUAGAUUGUAUCAAUUUACUAGGAAAGACCAGUUGGGAGUUGUUUCUCCUAGGUAUUGUUGAUGAUGAAGAAUCUGGUUUCGAUGGCGCAAGCUCAGAAUCCAAUCGUGGGCGAUCAACCACGC